ACUCAGUUGGUAGAGUACAAAGCUCUUAACCUUGUGGACGUGGGUUUAAGCCCCAU
rnacentral:tRNA from 1 species